rnacentral:tRNA from 1 species
GGGGUUGUAGUUCAGUGGUUGAACACUUGCCUAGCAUGCAUGAGGCACUGGGUUCAAUGCUCAGCACCACA